rnacentral:rRNA from 1 species
UACGAGUGCCUCAAGCGUUAUCCGGAAUCAUUGGGCGUAAAGGAUGUGUAGGUGGUAGUGUUAGUCUCUUGUUAAAUUCUUCGGCUUAACCGGGGGCAUGCAAGGGAAACGGCACAACUAGAGGAUGCGAGGGGUCUGCGGAACUCAUAGUGUAGCGGUGAAAUGCGUUGAUAUUAUGGGGAACACCAAAAGCGAAGGCGGCAGACUGGAGCACUCCUGACACUGAAACAUGAAAGCGUGGGUAGCGAAUGGG